rnacentral:rRNA from 1 species
CUACUUGCUGACGACCGGCGCACGGGUGCGUAACGCGUAUACAAUCUGCCUUAUACAGAGGGAUAGCCUUUAGAAAUGAAGAUUAAUACCUCAUGGUCUAUUAAUAUAGCAUUAUAUAAAUAGUAAAGCUUCGGCGGUAUAAGAUGAGUAUGCGUCCUAUUAGUUAGUUGGUAAGGUAACGGCUUACCAAGACAACGAUAGGUAGGGGCCCUGAGAGGGGGAUCCCCCACACUGGUACUGAGACACGGACCAGACUCCUACGGGAGGCAGCAGUGAGGAAUAUUGGACAAUGGAGGUAACUCUGAUCCAGCCAUGCCGCGUGCAGGAAGACGGCCCUAUGGGUUGUAAACUGCUUUUAUAUAGGAAGAAACCUUUUCACGUGUGAGAAGCUGACGGUACUAUAAGAAUAAGGACCGGCUAACUCCGUGCCAGCAGCCGCGGUAAUACGGAGGGUCCGAGCGUUAUCCGGAAUCAUUGGGUUUAAAGGGUCCGUAGGCGGGAAUCUAAGUCAGUGGUGAAAUCUUACAGCUCAACUGUAAAAUUGCCAUUGAUACUGGGUUUCUUGAAUUAGUGUGAAGUGAUUAGAAUGUGUAGUGUAGCGGUGAAAUGCAUAGAUAUUACACAGAAUACCAAUUGCGAAGGCAGAUCACUAACACUAUAUUGACGCUGAGGGACGAAAGCGUGGGGAGCGAACAGGAU